GAAUAAGUUGGUGCUGAGGGUGGUGAUGAUGAAGAAGGCAGUGAAGAUUACUAAAGUAUACGGCAUCUAAUAAGUUCAUGCGAUUGUGAGAGUUGGGUUGCUGCUGUGUAAUAUCAUGUUCUGUGUAUAACUUGUUCUCAAACAUCUGAGAAGAAAAUAGUGUUAAAAUUGUAAAUUCAAUUUCUGAUCAAGUGUGCUAAUCAUGAUAUCAAAAACAAUGGUUUGUCGAUGAACUUGCAUAUAUUCUUCCGAACAGCAAAAAAAAAGUCAAAUUACCUAUAAGUUGCAUUUUUUCUUCAAGAAUCUUUACAAUCUUCCUAUCUUUACAAAUAAAAUUUGGAUAAUUAAUAAUCUGAUUUAUGAACAAUUCUCAGAAUCUCUCCCCAACAUGAAUGAAAAAUGAGCCACGCCUUGAGUUAUGAUCAACUGCAUACUUUGCACGUAAUAGGUCAAAAUCUCAAAUGACGUGUUCUUACUCAAAGCUAGAAGAUAGUACAGAACAUCAUCGCUCCAAGCUUACCAAACUACACAUGAAUUGUUAUAUAAGUUUAAUUUUAAUAUUUCUAUAAAGAAGUCAACAAACUAAUUAGAAUAGAGGCCAAUUUAGUAUAUGGAAAAGACAGUGCAUUCACAAUUGCUUUAUUAGGCACACAACUUGGACAUUAUAGAAGGGCAGUGAACAUCGAAGCAUGGCCACUGAUAAGACUUAUAUUCCUAGGUCGGGUAAUUUCCAUCAAUGCAUCUAAUUGAUUGUACCAAAAAACACAA
rnacentral:lncRNA from 1 species